rnacentral:tRNA from 1 species
AAGGAAGUGGCAGAGGGGCUAUGCGAUUGGCUUGAAACUAACUCACGGGGGUUCAAUUCCUCCCUUCCUCG